CCUACGGGAGGCAGCAGUGAGGAAUAUUGGUCAAUGGCCGUAAGGCUGAACCAGCCAAGUCGCGUGAAGGAUGACGGACCUAUGGUUUGUAAACUUCUUUUAUAGGGGAAUAAAGGUAUCCACGUGUGGAUAUUUGCAUGUACCCUAUGAAUAAGCAUCGGCUAACUCCGUGCCAGCAGCCGCGGUAAUACGGAGGAUGCGAGCGUUAUCCGGAUUUAUUGGGUUUAAAGGGUGCGUAGGUUGUUUGUUAAGUCAGCGGUGAAAGUUUGUGGCUCAACCGUAAAAUUGCCGUUGAAACUGGAAGACUUGAGUGUAUUAGAGGUAGGCGGAAUGCGUGGUGUAGCGGUGAAAUGCAUAGAUAUCACGAAGAACCCCGAUUGCGAAGGCAGCUUACUAGGCCAUAACUGACACUGAAGCACGAAAGUGUGGGUAUCAAACAGGAUUAGAUACCCUAGUAGUC
rnacentral:rRNA from 1 species